CAACAGGGAUUACCUCAGUAACGGCGAGUGAAGCGGUAACAGCUCAAAUUUGAAAUCUGGCUCUUUCAGAGUCCGAGUUGUAAUUUGUAGAAGAUGCUUUGGGUGUGGCUCCGGUCUAAGUUCCUUGGAACAGGACGUCAUAGAGGGUGAGAAUCCCGUAUGUGACUGGCUGCCUUCGCCUAUGUAAAGCUCUUUCGACGAGUCGAGUUGUUUGGGAAUGCAGCUCUAAAUGGGAGGUAUAUUUCUUCUAAAGCUAAAUAUUGGCCAGAGACCGAUAGCGCACAAGUAGAGUGAUCGAAAGAUGAAAAGCACUUUGGAAAGAGAGUUAAACAGUACGUGAAAUUGUUGAAAGGGAAGCGCUUGCAACCAGACUUGCCUGCCGUCGAUCAUCCUGGGUUCUCCCUGGUGCACUCGGCGGUGGUCAGGCCAGCAUCGGUUUCGGUGGUGGGAUAAAGGCCUUGGGAAUGUGACUCCUCUCGGGGAGUGUUAUAGCCCUCGGUGCAAUGCCGCCUACCGGGACCGAGGACCGCGCUUCGGCUAGGAUGCUGGCGUAAUGGUUGUAAGCGACCCGUCUUGAAACACGGACCAAGGAGUCUAACAUCUAUGCGAGUGUUUGGGUGUUAAACCCAUACGCGUAAUUAACGUGAACGGAGGUGAGAACCCUUUAGGGUGCAUCAUCGACCGAUCCUGAUGUCUUCGGAUGGAUUUGAGUAAGAGCAUAGCUGUUGGGACCCGAAAGAUGGUGAACUAUGCCUAAAUAGGGUGAAGCCAGAGGAAACUCUGGUGGAGGCUCGCAGCGGUUCUGACGUGCAAAUCGAUCGUCAAAUUUGGGUAUAGGGGCGAAAGACUAAUCGAACCAUCUAGUAGCUGGUUCCUGC
rnacentral:rRNA from 1 species